AUGGAUAUCUUUUCAGUUUUUCUCUUCUACAGUCUGGCAUCUGCUGUCUCUGGAAACGUCAUCACACCAGACAAAACAGAGCUUUUUGCUGAGGAGGGUUCAAGUGUUACAUUAUCCUGUAGUUAUUCCUCUGCAGAUUAUCUAUACUGGUACCGUCAAUAUCCUGGUUCCACUCCUGAAUUUCUUGAGCUCAUCGUUGAUGGUACAACAACCACCAAAAAGUCUGAUGUAGAUCCAAGACUCUCAGUUAAACUCACUAAACGAGAACAAAAGCACGUGGAUCUGGAGAUCACCUCUGCUACGGUAUCAGACUCUGCUCUGUAUUACUGUGCUCUGAGGCCCACAGUCACAGGAAACAUUUGGUUUCCCUACAAAAACCCCAGUGAGAGAGAGUAAGAAUAGAGCAGAUGCAGUGAGUCUUAAAGGGGUCAUAUGAUGCUGCUAAAAAGAACAUUAUUUUGUGUAUUUGGUGUAAUUAAAUGUGUUUACGUGGUUUAAGGUUAAAAAAACACAUUAUUUUCCACAAACUGUACAUUACUGUUUCUCCUCAAUUCCCCACCUUAUGAAACCCAUCGAUUUUUACAAGGCUCAUUGGUCUAAAAACGUGAGGUGUCCUGUGAUUGGCCAGCUAUCCAGUACAUUGUGAUUGGCCGAGUACCUCAACCGAUGGAAAUGUUAUGUCCCGUAACAUAUUGUGAUGCCCUGUCCGGCUGGAGUGACGAGAAAUAAACAUUG